rnacentral:rRNA from 1 species
AGCAGCCGCGGUAAUUCCAGCUCCAAUGGCGUAUAUUAAAGUUGCUGCAGUUAAAAAGCUCGUAGUUGAAUUUCGGGACCAUCAUGUCGGUCGUGCCUCGGUACGUACUGGCAUUGUUGGUUUCUCCCUUCUGACGAACCAUGAUGUCAUUUAUUUGGUGUUGUGGGGAAUCAGGACUGUUACUUUGAAAAAAUUAGAGUGUUUAAAGCAGGCUCACGCUUGAAUACAUUAGCAUGGAAUAAUGAAAUAGGACGUUUGAUUCUAUUUUGUUGGUUUCUAGGAUCGACGUAAUGAUUAAUAGGGAUAGUUGGGGGCAUUAGUAUUCAAUUGUCAGAGGUGAAAUUCUUGGAUUUAUUGAAGACUAACUACUGCGAAAGCAUUUGCCAAGGAUGUUUUCAUUAAUCAAGAACGAAAGUUAGGGGAUCGAAGACGAUCAGAUACCGUCGUAGU